rnacentral:miRNA from 1 species
UAUUGCAAAAACGUGUAGUAAUACAACAUGAUCUAGUCGACGUUUCAGUCCACGAAGGACUUUUAUCAAGACUGUCUUGAUAAAAGUCCUUCGUGGACUGAAACGUCGACUAGAUCAUGUUGUAUUACUACACGUUUUUGCAAU